GGGACCGACCUGGCUUCGACGUGGGUGCGGAGUCGGCGCAGGGCAUGCCGAGCACCAGUACGCUCGUAAAUCCACUGGAACAAAGUAACUGCGAACGACGAACGUUUCGCCCUCGCCGCUUAACACCGGUGAGCCUCUCAACGGCAGGCCGAUGGGCCGGGCGCGCAAGCGCUGAGAGGUCAUUCACAUCGGCUGGUCGACGCCCGUGCACCUUGGGCACCGACGAGAUCCAAGGGUGCUGGCUUGUUCGGUAGCGUGCCACUGCGCGACCGGACAGGCGAGACUCAAAUCAGACGGCUAAGCAUGUAGAACUGUCCGGUGAUGGCUUGCGGACGGGGGUUCGAUUCCCCCCGGUUCCACCA
rnacentral:tmRNA from 2 species